GGCUGGUUUGGGAGAACCGGUAGUUAAAUUGCUGUUUGGCCCCUCCCCUUGCAGGAAUCCCCACGUGCCCCAUUUUGGCUCCCAGGUGAAGUUGCAGUGUACCCCAGUACCUCAUGUAUGUCGCUUAAGUACUAGGGAGGCGUGACUAAAGGCACCAAAUUUUUGGGGAACCAGACAGUAAGAGUGCUGACAGGUAAGACAAUGGCUAGAAGUUAUGGGUUGAUUCUCCUUUGAUUUUAUAGUGAAUGGUGCUUUUAUGAUUUUAAUGUUAGGCUUUGUUUUGUGAUGUUUUUACUGUCAUGAGCCAUCCAGAUUCUUGGAACAUAGGUGCCAUGAAAAACUUACAAAAUAAGCAAAUAAAUAAAGGGUAACAGAAUUGGAAAAGGACAGCAAGAAGGACCAGGGACUAGAAACGAAGAUCCUGAGCAUGUUUUGCCUUGAGGGGAAAAAAACAAACAAACCAAGGAGGCAUAUCAUACAAGC